UUGCUUCUUUUAAUCUAUCUCCCUUUUUAUUUUUGAGUUGUUUAUCUUUGUGAGUUUGGUAAUCUUAACUCUGCUAAGACAUUCCUAUUGUAUCCUGGGAGGUUUGCGUAGGACACCGCGGAUAAACUUUUUAGAUCAAUAAGUGUCAUGUCUCAACAAGUUCAAUCGUGUUCGAGAUUUUCGACUUCAGCAACAAUAAUCUAAAAGGUUUAUAUCUUGGUUGAAGCUGCAAAACCUGUCAACAAUGUUGAUGCUUUCAACCCCAUGCCACCGACUGCAACCUUUGCCAAGUCGUUGCCUGACGUCUCAAAAAAUUGAGGUCUUCGUUGGCCAAAACUUUCGUCAUUGGAGGAACAUGUUCAUACCUUGUUAGACAUGCAUGGAGUUGUCUUCGCUCUUCCACUCCUAGACCUGAUGUCGUUGUUGAUGCCAAUCAACUUCGACAAUGGGUUCAGGCCAAUAAGGUAUGUUGUCACACUUGGUUAAGUGUCAUUUGUAAUGAUCUUUUCGAUGUCUACUACUCCUACAAAGAAUCCAAAGAGAUAUGAGACUCUCUCAUACUCAAAUACACUACCAAAAACGUGGUCAGACAGAGAUUCAUCAUCGCCAACUAUUACCGUUGGACGAUGAACAAAGAAAGAGACAUGAAGGUACAAUUCAAUGAAUGCCACAAGUUGUUGUAAGACCUGGAGAUUGAAAACAUUUCUCUGCCUGAUGAGUUUGUUUCUGAACUCCUAAUUGAGAAGUUGUCAAAGUCUUAGAUAGACUACAAACAACAGUUAAAGCACAGGCACAAACGAAUGUCACUACCAGACUUUAUCACCCACAUUAUCAUUGAAGAUACAAAUAGGAAGGAAAGUAUUGUAGUAAGAACCAAAGCAAUGCAUACCAAGGCAAACACAGUACAAGACAAACCGUUUCAUAAGAGGUGCAGAGUUGUGGCUAACCAAGUUGAAGGAAAUGAUGUUAUUGUUGCGGUCAUUUCUCAAGUGAAUGUUGUCACUAAUGUGAACAAAUGGGUGGUAGACUCUAAGGCUACCAGACACAUUUGUGCUAAUAAGAUUAUGCUUACCUCCUACAUUGCUGUGGGGAAUGGAGAAUAACAAGUUUAUCUUGGUGAUUCGAGAACUACUCCGGUUCAAGGAAAGGAAAAAGUUAUUCUCAAGUUCACAUUUGGAAAAACAUUGGCAUUGAAUGAUGUGUUACAUGUUCCCUCUAUUAGAUUUAACCUUAUUUUUGUAACAUUGUUGGAAAAGGUUGGGGUAAAAAUAUCCUUUGAGUCUAAUUAGAUAGUUAUGAUUAAGAAUAAUGUAUUUGUGGGGAAGGGUUAUUGUGAUCAGUGUCUCUUUGUACUCAAUGUUUCUGAAGUGAUUAACGAGAAUGCAUCUUCUUCUGCUUA